AGUGAACGCUGGCGGUAGGCCUAACACAUGCAAGUCGAACGGCAGCACAGUAAGAGCUUGCUCUUACGGGUGGCGAGUGGCGGACGGGUGAGGAAUACAUCGGAAUCUACUUUUUCGUGGGGGAUAACGUAGGGAAACUUACGCUAAUACCGCAUACGACCUACGGGUGAAAGCAGGGGAUCUUCGCACCUUGCGCGACUGAAUGAGACGAUGUCGGAUUAGCUAGUUGGCGGGGUAAAGGCCCACCAAGGCGACGAUCCGUAGCUGGUCUGAGAGGAUGAUCAGCCACACUGGAACUGAGACACGGUCCAGACUCCUACGGGAGGCAGCAGUGGGGAAUAUUGGACAAUGGGCGCAAGCCUGACCCAGCAAUACCGCGUGGGUGAAGAAGGCCUUCGGGUUGUAAAGCCCUUUUGUUAGGAAAGAAAAGCAGUAGGUUAAUCCCUGGCUGUUCUGACGGUACCCAAACAAUAAGCACCGGCUAACUUCGUG
rnacentral:rRNA from 1 species